rnacentral:rRNA from 1 species
AUCGAUGAAGAACGCAGCGAAAUGCGAUAAGUAAUGUGAAUUGCAGAAUUCAGUGAAUCAUCGAAUCUUUGAACGCACAUUGCGCCCUCUGGUAUUCCGGAGGGCACACCUGUUCGAGCGUCAUUACACAAAUCAAGCCCUGCUUGGUGUUGGGUGAGGCCCUUUGGGGCCCGCCUCAAACCCCUCGGCGUCGCCGUCCGUCUUCGAGCGCAGCGAGAUAACUUUCCAGCGUUUUCGAGAUGGGCCACGUCCGCCGCAGAACACACCUUUUUUUCUAUCAAGGUUGACCUCGGAUCAGGUGGGGAUACCCGCUGAACUUAAGCAUAUCAAUAAGCGGAGGAAAAGAAACCAACAGGGAUUGCCUUAGUAACGGCGAGUGAAGCGGCAACAGCUCAAAUUUGAAAUCUGGUCCUUUCAGGUCCCGAGUUGUAAUUUGUAGAGGAUGCUUUGGUGUUGGCCCCGGUCUAAGUUCCUUGGAACAGGACGUCAUAGAGGGUGAGAAUCCCGUAUGUGACCGGCGGCCCUCCCCGUGUAAAGCUCCUUCGACGAGUCGAGUUGUUUGGGAAUGCAGCUCUAAAUGGGAGGUAUAUUUCUUCUAAAGCUAAAUACCGGCCAGAGACCGAUAGCGCACAAGUAGAGUGAUCGAAAGAUGAAAAGCACUUUGGAAAGAGAGUCAAACAGUACGUGAAAUUGUUGAAAGGGAAGCGCUUGCGACCAGACUUGCCCGCGGUUGUUCAACAGGUCCUUGGGCCUGUGCACUCUUCCGCGGUCAGGCCAGCAUCAGCUCGGGCGGUCGGAUAAAGGCUGCGGGAAUGUAGCUCCCCUCGGGGAGUGUUAUAGCCCGUGGUGUAAUGCGACCAGUCCGGGCUGAGGACCGCGCUUCGGCUAGGAUGCUGGCGUAAUGGUCGUAAGCGGCCCGUCUUGAAACACGG